UCUCUCUCUCUCUCCUUGUGCAGCGGCUAUUGAUUGGUCACCACCAAGCUCAGGUCCAUGGAGCUCCAAUGUCAAGGGCACAAAGGUCAACUACCUAUUGCUCCUUUGUUGUUUCUGGAUCCAUUCCUUCCUUCUUAGCACAUGUCUCUUCUUCUUCUUCUUGUGCAGCAGCAGCAACAAAGAUAGAGGCCAAGGCAUUCAUCCAGGAGGUGUGCAGUCCGCUCGGCAUCAACCUUAUUAUACACUUGUGAACAUUAUUAGAAUGAGGUGUGGUUUGCUAGCACCAGCAGUUCCUUUUAUGCAACGGUUCAGACUACUUGUUGAAUUGAAUACACUUGUGCAAUCCUAUUCCAGUUCAAAUAGAAAUGCUAAACAUAUCAUAGAUGAUGCACCUUUUGCAUUCUUCCAGUCUUGUAUUUUUAGGAAGCAUUUUAAAACGACAGAUCAUGCAGCCCCCACAUAACACUCAUGCAGCCCCCACAUAAUGUUGUCUAACAAAUUGCAUUGGAAAUAUACUGUUCUUCCUUGCCUAAUGUUAUUGUUGCCGAUAAUAGGGCCUGUAGAUAGCAAGUUAUUUCCUAGUGGUUACUUAUGCUUAUUGUGCAUCACAUUGAAAAAGAAAAUGCACAAUGAGCUUGUUUGAUCUUUUUUAUGCUUAUGUAUACUUGAUCAGGGCAGUCCUAUUUCCUGUGAUCUUUCCUAUCAUUUCGUAGUGUGAUGUUUCAAGAUGACAAAUUUUAAAACCCAAACUAUUGUAAACAAGCUUUCUACAUCUUGAGAAUUAAUUGUUCAUGAUAAGCGAAUAGUGUAGUUGAUCAUCACUAUUGCUAAAUGCUAUUGUCCGAUAUAAUAUAAGUAUGAGCACUCAACCAUUCUACAGCUUUAUGCAUAUUUGUUUUGUAUUUUUUUAUAAAUGAUGAUAGUUUGUGCAAGAUGUUCACAUGUUAUUUUAUUUUUUGACUAAAUUCUCUUAUGCCCUUGACUUAGCUUGACCCAGAAUAGCAGCAUCCUUGAUGCGCGUACUGACCUCCACCUCGUUCUUUCUCUCACAGACUCGAAGGAGACAAUACGCAAGGCAUCUCCUCUUCGGUUGUGAGAGUGUCCAGGGGUCAUGGGUGCGGCUAAUGCCUAUGUAUGUGGCCGCACUUGACACUACCCUUUCUUUAAGGGCACAUAUCAUUUUUUAUAACUCUGCUAUCUUUUCCCAAGUCUUUAUUAUCUUGCCUAGCCUUGUACUGAUAUGUAUUGUUUGAUGCUAAUUACCCAAGUUAGUGCAUGAUGUUAAGGAUAACCUGAGAACACUUGCCUAAGUUUAUAAGAUAUGACAUGUGACAGUUCAACCUGCUUUGCUGCUCUUUUAAUGCUUUUGCUGCUGUACUGUGCUUCUCUAUUUGUUUGAAUGCUUCUGCUGCUAGCCUGCUAGACUGCUACUAGCUUGAAUAGGUGUGCACUUGUGCUGGUGGUGGUGCUGCUUGUGUUGCUGCUGCUAAUUUAAUGCUUAUACUCACGCCGCUGUUGAUUAAAUUCUUAUGUUGUUGUUGCAUGCUUAUGCUACUGAUUCAAUGCUUUAGAAAUUAAUUGAAUUGAACCUGUUGUAAUCCUUCCUGUUAUACUCGUAUUUAAUUUUUGGGUUUCUAUUUGAUAUUUUAGUCUGUUAUAUACGGUUCAUCUUCAAUUUCUUUUGUAACCUGCUUGGAGCUUAGAAUACACAGCCCAACUAGUCUCAUAUACAACUAAGACCAAUGAUUCAUGCUCAAUUUUGUAUAUGUAUGACCAGUAAAGUUGGAAGGCCCAAAUCUUAAUGUUAAUAUGCUCUAUUCUAUACCAUAUUCAUGCUCAUGCAUCACCAGUUACUGAUUUUUUUGCUUGGUCUAUUUUGGCUCAUAACCUAAGUAUACCAAAACUGACUAAAUGAUUUCUCCAACUUGCCAAAAUUGUCAUAAUUGUCUCCUGCCUUGUGAUGUUAGUCUCUGUGCACUUACUAGUAUUGUUAGUAGAAUGGAUGGUCGUGGUAGUAGAAUAGGAAUUUUCUUUAGGUUAGUGCUAUAGUGAUGUUCAUUUCAUUACCUAAACUUUGUACCAAUGUACCAUGCAGGUAUGUAUAGAUUAUUAUUGUGGAACAACAUCAGGUUAAUCUGUUGCAUUCAAGUUGUUGGAAGCUUUGUUAUGCCAUGCUUAGUGUUUACUGAAUUGGGGCAUUUGGGCAUGUAUGUAUAAAUUUUAGCCUCUUGAAAGAAUAUUAUUUACUUCCAGUGUAUUUCACUAAUAACUUAUCUAGAUCAGGAUCUAAUGUUGUCGAGGUUGCUGCUGCUGUGACAGAAGAUCAGAAGAAGGUUGGAGAUGCACGCCGUAGUUUUAGUUGAUGUUGCCACCAAGUUUUGGUGCUUGUGUAUCUGUUUU
rnacentral:lncRNA from 1 species